ACCUCUGUGGUGUAGUGGUAGCACACGACCCCGCUAUGGAUGAAACGUGAGUUCGACUCCCGUCCGAGGUC